rnacentral:tRNA from 1 species
GGACGGUUAGCUCAGUUGGUAGAGCAGGGAGCUUACACCUCUCAGGUCGGCGGUUCGAGCCCGUCACCGUCCACCA